GAAGGUGGGGAUGACGUCAAGUCCUCAUGGCCCUUAUGGGUAGGGCUUCACACGUCAUACAAUGGUCGGUACAGAGGGUUGCCAAGCCGCGAGGUGGAGCCAAUCCCAGAAAGCCGAUCGUAGUCCGGAUUGUUCUCUGCAACUCGAGAGCAUGAAGUCGGAAUCGCUAGUAAUCGCGGAUCAGCAUGUCGCGGUGAAUACGUUCCCGGGUCUU
rnacentral:rRNA from 1 species